rnacentral:rRNA from 1 species
UGAGGAAUAUUGGUCAAUGGGCGGAAGCCUGAACCAGCCAAGUAGCGUGCAGGAUGACGGCCCUACGGGUUGUAAACUGCUUUUAUGCGGGGAUAAAAAGGAGGACGUGUCCUUCAUUGCAGGUACCGCAUGAAUAAGGACCGGCUAAUUCCGUGCCAGCAGCCGCGGUAAUACGGAAGGUCCGGGCGUUAUCCGGAUUUAUUGGGUUUAAAGGGAGCGCAGACGGCCUUUUAAGCGUGCUGUGAAAUAUUGCGGCUCAACCGUAAGAUUGCAGCGCGAACUGUGAGGCUUGAGUUCGCUGGAGGUACGCGGAAUUCGUGGUGUAGCGGUGAAAUGCUUAGAUAUCACGAGGAACUCCGAUUGCGAAGGCAGCGUACCGUGGCGUUACUGACGUUCAUGCUCGAAAGCGCGGGUAUCGAACAGG